rnacentral:rRNA from 1 species
GACGAACGCUGGCGGCGUGCUUAACACAUGCAAGUCGAACGGAAAGGCCCUGCUUUUGUGGGGUGCUCGAGUGGCGAACGGGUGAGUAACACGUGAGUAACCUGCCCUUGACUUUGGGAUAACUUCAGGAAACUGGGGCUAAUACCGGAUAGGAGCUCCUGCUGCAUGGUGGGGGUUGGAAAGUUUCGGCGGUUGGGGAUGGACUCGCGGCUUAUCAGCUUGUUGGUGGGGUAGUGGCUUACCAAGGCUUUGACGGGUAGCCGGCCUGAGAGGGUGACCGGCCACAUUGGGACUGAGAUACGGCCCAGACUCCUACGGGAGGCAGCAGUGGGGAAUACUGCACAAUGGGCGGAAGCCUGAUGCAGCAACGCCGCGUGCGGGAUGACGGCCUUCGGGUUGUAAACCGCUUUCGCCUGUGACGAAGCGUGAGUGACGGUAAUGGGUAAAGAAGCACCGGCUAACUACGUGCCAGCAGCCGCGGUGAUACGUAGGGUGCGAGCGUUGUCCGGAUUUAUUGGGCGUAAAGGGCUCGUAGGUGGUUGAUCGCGUCGGAAGUGUAAUCUUGGGGCUUAACCCUGAGCGUGCUUUCGAUACGGGUUGACUUGAGGAAGGUAGGGGAGAAUGGAAUUCCUGGUGGAGCGGUGGAAUGCGCAGAUAUCAGGAGGAACACCAGUGGCGAAGGCGGUUCUCUGGGCCUUUCCUGACGCUGAGGAGCGAAAGCGUGGGGAGCGAACAGGCUUAGAUACCCUGGUAGUCCACGCUGUAAACGGUGGGUACUAGGUGUGGGGUCCAUUCCACGGGUUCCGUGCCGUAGCUAACGCUUUAAGUACCCCGCCUGGGGAGUACGGCCGCAAGGCUAAAACUCAAAGGAAUUGACGGGGCCCCGCACAAGCGGCGGAGCAUGCGGAUUAAUUCGAUGCAACGCGUAGAACCUUACCUGGGUUUGACAUGGAUCGGGAGUGCUCAGAGAUGGGUGUGCCUCUUUUGGGGUCGGUUCACAGGUGGUGCAUGGCUGUCGUCAGCUCGUGUCGUGAGAUGUUGGGUUAAGUCCCGCAACGAGCGCAACCCUUGUUCACUGUUGCCAGCACGUUAUGGUGGGGACUCAGUGGAGACCGCCGGGGUCAACUCGGAGGAAGGUGGGGAUGACGUCAAGUCAUCAUGCCCCUUAUGUCCAGGGCUUCACGCAUGCUACAAUGGCUGGUACAGAGAGUGGCGAGCCUGUGAGGGUGAGCGAAUCUCGGAAAGCCGGUCUCGGUUCGGAUUGGGGUCUGCAACUCGACCUCAUGAAGUCGGAGUCGCUAGUAAUCGCAGAUCAGCAACGCUGCGGUGAAUACGUUCCCGGG